AAUCCUCGUAGCAGUUGUGCUGUACAGUGAAGCUGCUUUCCAGAGUCACAGAGGCACAGCCUGAGCAGUUUGUGGAGAAGGGGACCAAGUCCCCUCAGCCUAUGCUGGGCUCCAGGCCACAACAGUCACAAACCUCUCCUUUGAAACGGGGCCAGAAAAGCACAAACCCUCUGACUCCAGGAGGUGGGAUUUUAAGAAAAGCUACCAGCAGUCGCACAGGUACUGAGGAAAAUGGUGGCACAUAAUGAGCAGGGCACUGUGACUGAAUGCGAGAGGAGAGCAUGCAGCAAGGCACCACAGCAAGAAUGAGGUGCACCCCCAAACAAGUUGUGCACAUGUGGACUGAUGCCAAUGGAACCAAUGGAAUGUCUCUGGGUACACAUUCACUGGGACUGAGGUCCUACCACAUUCUGGGGAUCUGAGUGACCAGGGUAUAGCUCUCCACUCCUUUAUUUUCCUUGAGACAAAGCUUGAAGUGUUCUGUGAAGGAAGAAUCGUACUUGAUUCCCUCAGCUCAUAAUUCACUGCCCAAGACCAAGUCCAUCAACUUGCAAUGGAGAGGACAAAGUUAGUGCCCCAUGGCGUUUGCUUUCAAAAAGAAAACAAGGAGAUUUUUACUUCUAUCAGUAAAAGAGUAAGUACUAAGUAAUCGAAGUACUAGAAAUGUUUUAGACACACACUUACAGAUGCGUCAAGCUAAAGCACAUAAGUAGAGUCAGUGCCCGAGGCACUGUGAUGAGAACUCCAUGUCAAAAUGAAGAACUAAAUGCAGAUCUUCUGCCUGCCUGUGCUACAGCCUACUGAAGGAAAAAAAUAUAUGUAUAUCCAAAAAAGAAACAC